UGGCGGCGGCCUACACAUGCAAGUCGAGCGGUAGAGAGAAGCUUGCUUCUCUUGAGAGCGGCGGACGGGUGAGUAAUGCCUAGGAAUCUGCCUAGUGGUGGGGGAUAACGUUCGGAAACGGACGCUAAUACCGCAUACGUCCUACGGGAGAAAGCGGGGGAUCUUCGGACCUCGCGCCAUUAGAUGAGCCUAGGUCGGAUUAGCUAGUUGGUGAGGUAAUGGCUCACCAAGGCGACGAUCCGUAACUGGUCUGAGAGGAUGAUCAGUCACACUGGAACUGAGACACGGUCCAGACUCCUACGGGAGGCAGCAGUGGGGAAUAUUGGACAAUGGGCGAAAGCCUGAUCCAGCCAUGCCGCGUGUGUGAAGAAGGUCUUCGGAUUGUAAAGCACUUUAAGUUGGGAGGAAGGGUAGUAACCUAAUACGUUGCUACUUUGACGUUACCGACAGAAUAAGCACCGGCUAACUUCGUGCCAGCAGCCGCGGUAAUACGAAGGGUGCAAGCGUUAAUCGGAAUUACUGGGCGUAAAGCGCGCGUAGGUGGUUCAGUAAGUUGGAAGUGAAAUCCCCGGGCUCAACCUGGGAACUGCUUUCAAAACUGCUGAGCUAGAGUACGGUAGAGGGUGGUGGAAUUUCCUGUGUAGCGGUGAAAUGCGUAGAUAUAGGAAGGAACACCAGUGGCGAAGGCGACCACCUGGACUGAUACUGACACUGAGGUGCGAAAGCGUGGGGAGCAAACAGGAUUAGAUACCCUGGUAGUCCACGCCGUAAACGAUGUCAACUAGCCGUUGGAAUCCUUGAGAUUUUAGUGGCGCAGCUAACGCAUUAAGUUGACCGCCUGGGGAGUACGGCCGCAAGGUUAAACUCAAAUGAAUUGACGGGGGCCC
rnacentral:rRNA from 1 species